rfam:Oryza punctata chromosome 11, whole genome shotgun sequence.
UCUAAGUGUAAUUAUAGAUUUUUAUGUUUAACGUUUAACCGUUCGUCUUAUUUAAAUUUUUUUUAUGAUUAGUAUCUUUGUUGUUAUUAGAUGAUAAAAUAUAAAUAGUACUUUAUACGUGACUUAUUUUUUUAAUUUUUUAUAAAUUUUUCAAAUAAAAUAAACGACCAAACGUUACACACAAAGACUCACAACUGAAACUGGA